rnacentral:rRNA from 1 species
GACGUGACUUCAGAGUUUGAUCCUGGCUCAGGACUGAACGCUGGCGGCGUGCCUAACACAUGCAAGUCGAACGGGACUAUUCAGAGAUGUUUUCGGACUGAUCUUUAUAGUUUAGUGGCGGACGGGUGAGUAACGCGUGGACAACCUGCCUUUCACAGGGGGAUAGCAGCUGGAAACGGCUGGUAAUACCGCAUAUGCUCAGUGCACCGCAUGGUGUGCUGAGGAAAGAUUUAUCGGUGAAAGAUGGAUCCGCGUCUGAUUAGCCAGUUGGCGGGGUAACGGCCCACCAAAGCGACGAUCAGUAGCCGGCCUGAGAGGGCGGACGGCCACAUUGGGACUGAGACACGGCCCAG